rnacentral:lncRNA from 1 species
GAUUUUGAAAUACUAGAAAACAAGGUCUAGAUCUUUGAUAAAAUGUGCAAAUUUUUAUAGUAGUAGCUAAUUCAUGUGUAAGAAUUGUCAUUAAAAUAUAGAAAAUGCCAUGUUUGAUCAUAUUUAUGAUUGUAUUUUACAAAAAAAAGAAUUCUUUUGUUUGAUUCAUUUUUUUCCAACUUUGUCAAAUAAGGGGAGGCAAUUCAAAUGCAAGGGCAGAUAAUUCA